rnacentral:tRNA from 1 species
GAGGGUACAGCUCAGUGGUAGAGCGCACGCUUAGUGUGGGUAAGGUCCUGGGUUCAAUCCUCAGUACCUCCA